AACGAACGCUGGCGGCAUGCCUAACACAUGCAAGUCGAACGAGACCUUCGGGUCUAGUGGCGCACGGGUGCGUAACGCGUGGGAACCUGCCCUUAGGUUCGGAAUAACUCCCCGAAAGGGGUGCUAAUACCGGAUAAUGUCUUCGGACCAAAGAUUUAUCGCCUUUGGAUGGGCCCGCGUUGGAUUAGCUAGUUGGUAGGGUAAAAGCCUACCAAGGCGACGAUCCAUAGCUGGUCUGAGAGGAUGAUCAGCCACACUGGGAAUGAGACACGGCCCAGACUGCUGCGGGAGGCGGCAGUGGGGAAUAUUGGACAAGGGGCGAAGGCGUGAUCAAGCAAUGCCGCGUGAGUGGUGAAGGCCUUAGGGUUGUGAAGCUCUUUUACCCGGGAUGAUAAUGACAGGACCGGGAGAAUAAGCUCCGGCUAACUCCGUG
rnacentral:rRNA from 1 species